UUCCUGUUAAGCUUUCUUUAUCUCAACCUACAAGUUUUCUUUUCCCCCUGUGAUUCUCUCCCCAGUCCCACUGGUGAGGGAGUGAGCGAGAGGCUGUGUGGUACUUGGUUUCUGGCUGUAGUUAAACCACAACAGGGUGUGUAGAAUCAAUAGGCACAAACUGGAUGUAACUGUGCUCAGUCUGAGAACUAGGAGACUGUCUGAUCACUGGAGCAGGGAGGCUCUGGAACAGCUCUUUGGUUGGAGGCCAGAAGCGUAACUUUCAAAGCUUUGAGACUGUACAUCCUCAGGGAGACAUCCAGUUACUUUUAAAUCAAGAGGUGGUCUAAGUUUGGUUUCAGUGGAAGCUGGAACAGGCCGCACAUGCAUAGGAAACAUGCUGUUAUCUAACAGCGUGCUGUUAUAUCAUGUGAUCACUAGAAAGGUGUAUCAUCAACAUAUUCCAGAUGUCUAAUUUUUCCUUAACCAAUUUGAUGCUGCAGGCUAUUUGGGGCCCUUAGUUCAACAAUUGUGCUCUUUAAAAUGACAGUGAGUGCUAAUUUUGUCCUAAAACCUGGAUUUAUAAAAGCAAACUUUUAUAAAACCUGAAACCUAAGGAAUUGCCAUAUGCUAUUGUUAAAUUGCAGUUGUUUGCAUGCUGAUAUAUACCCUCCAGGAAUGCCUGAAUUCCCAUACAGCAGCAACUUGGAGCUACGUUAAACAGUAUAAUGAAAACUAAAACUGCUUCUGUAGCUUUUCAUCGACUUCCAUGCUUGAUGCUGACCAAGAAGUCAUUGCUUGAGUUUUCAUUGUGUAGGCAGCACCUCCUUAAGCUAUCAUCAGGCUGUAUGGCGUCAGUCAGCAGCAGAGGCAACAGAUGCCCUCACCACUGUAGUAUCACUGUAGGCCAGCUCUGAAAGCAGCUUUCACGGUGUUGGGUCACUCUGGUGCCUAUGGUUUGGGAAGCCUCCACCAGAUAGUGUUCUUAAUAAAAGUGAUACUCUGUGGUAUCUCUCA